rnacentral:rRNA from 1 species
GAGAGUUAAACAGUACGUGAAAUUGUUGAAAGGGAAACGAUUGAAGUCAGUCAUACCAACGGGAAAUCAACCUUUUGAGUUUGGUCUCGUGGGUUUUGAAGAGUUUUUAAAAGCCUUCGGAUUUUCGAGAUUGGGUUCUUCUGGUGUACUUUCUCGUACGGUUAGUCAACAUCGGUUUUGAAUGUCAUAAAAUGACUGGAGGAAUGUGGCUUCGAUCUCGUAUUGAAGUGUUAUAGCCUUUGGUAGAUGUGAUGUUCGAGACCGAGGAUUGCAACGGAUACCCUUCUGGGCUAUUCGUCUGAUCUCUGAAACGUUGCCUUGAUGUCGAAAGCUUGCUUAUGAUGUUAGGGUAUUACGGUCAAAAGGUUAGAACGGAUUAAAUUCGUUAAGGAUGUUGACGUAAUGACUUUAAACGA